rnacentral:rRNA from 1 species
ACGAUGAUGCGGUGCUUGCACCGGGGAUUAGUGGCGAACGGGUGAGUAACACGUGAGUAACCUGGCCUUGACUCUGGGAUAAGCCUGGGAAACCGGGUCUAAUACCGGAUAUGACCUGUCACCGCAUGGUGGUGGGUGGAAAGAUUUUUUGGUCUUGCAGAUGGACUCGCCUGGCCUAUCUGCUUGUUGGUGCGGGUAAUGGCCUACCAAGGCGACGACGGGUAGCCGGCCUGAGAGGGUGACCGGCCACAACUGGGACUGAAGACACCGCGCCCAGACUCCCUACGGGAGGCAGCAGGUGGGGAAUAUUGCUACAAUAGGGCGCAAGCCUGAUGCACCGACGCCGCGUGAGGGAUGAAAUAGCCUUCGGGUUGUAAACCUCUUUCUGCAGGGAAGAAGCGAAAGUGACGGUACCUGCAAAAGAAGCGGCCGGCUAACUACUGUGCCAGCAGCCGCGGUAAUACGUAGGGGCGCGAAGCGUUGUCCGGAAUUAUUGGGCGUAAAGAGCUCGUAUGGCGGUUUGUCGCGUCUGCUGUGAAAAGCCCGGGGCUCAACCCCGGGUCUGCAGUGGGUACGGACAGACUAGAGUGCAGUAAGGGAGACUGGAAUUCCUGGUGUAGCGGUGAAAUGCACAGAUAUCAGGAGGAACACCGAUGGCGAAGGCCUGUCUCUGGGCUGUGACUGACACUGACGAACGAAAGCAUGUGGAGCGCACACGAUUAGAUAUCCUGGUAGUGCACGCCGUAAACGUUGGGCACUAGGUGUGGGGGACAUUUCACGUUUUUCGUACCGUAGCUAACGCCUUAACGUGCCCCGGCCUGGGGAGUACGGCCGCAAGGCUAAAACUCAAAGGAAUUGACGGGGGCCCGCACCAGCGGCGGAGCAUGCGGAUUAAUUCGAUGCAACGCAGAAGAACCUUACCAUAGGCUUGACAUGGCCCGGACCGGGCCUGGAAACAGUCCCUUCCCUUCGGGGCCGGUUCACAGGUGGUGCAUGGUUCGUCGUCCAGCUCGUGUCGUGAGAUGUUGGGUUAAGUCCCGCAACGAGCGCAACCCUCGUUCCAUGUCUGCCAGCGCGUAAUGGCGGGGACUGCAUGGGAGACUGCCGGGGUCAACUCGGAGGAAGGUGGGGACGACGUCAAAUCGAUCAUGCCCCUUAUGUCUUGGGCUUCACGCAUGCUCAUGUCAAGUGGCCGAGUACGUAAGUGAGUAACGUUGCGAAUACUGUGAUCGUGUGUGAGCUAAUCCCAAAAAGCUCGGUCUGCAGUUCGGAUUGGGGUCUGCAACUCGACCCCAUGAAGUCGGAGUCGCUAGUAAUCGCAGAUCAGCAACGCUGCGGUGAAUACGUUCCCGGGCCUUGUACACACCGCCCGUCAAGUCACGAAAGUUGGUAACACCCGAAGCCGGUGGCCUAACCCCUUGUGGGAGGGAGCCGU